GAUUUUGAGUUGAAGUAAGAAGAGGUGGUAUUGAGAUGUGUAGAAACUUGGUUGUAGUAAAAAAUUUACAAAGGAAGAGGAUACAACUACGUAAAUAAAAAAAAUGAGUUGGUGACUAUUCUACCCCUGAGACGCUGACCACGCUAAACCAAUCUUGCCUAGCUCCCGAAAUUUUUGUUAGCAAUAACCCUGAGGUGUUCAACACCUCAACGUAAACUAUGUAUAGUUGAACGUGGGCGUUAGAAUGAAACGUUACUAGUGGGCCAUUUUUGGUAAGCAGAACUGGCGAUGCGGGAUGAACCGAACGCGAGGUUAAGGUGCCGGAAUGCACGCUCAUCAGACACCACAAAAGGUGUUAGUUCAUCUAGACAGCCCGACGGUGGCCAUGGAAGUCGGAAUCCGCUAAGGAGUGUGUAACAACUCACGGGCCGAAUGAACUAGCCCUGAAAAUGGAUGGCGCUCAAGCGUGCUACCCAUACCUCGCCGUCGGGGUAGAAACGAUGCCCCGACGAGUAGGCAGGCGUGGGGGUCCGUGACGAAGCCUUGGGAGUGAUCCCGGGUCGAACGGCCCCUAGUGCAGAUCUUGGUGGUAGUAGCAAAUACUCAAAUGAGAACUUUGAGGACUGAAGUGGGGAAAGGUUCCAUGUGAACAGCAGUUGGACAUGGGUGAGUCGAUCCUAAGACAUAGGGUAGUUCCGUUUGAAAGUGCGCCCUCGUGCGCCGUCCGUCGAAAGGGAAGCCGGUUAAUAUUCCGGCACCUGGAUGUGGAUUCUCCACGGCAACGUAACUGAACGCGGAGACAUCGGCGGGGGUCCUGGGGAAGAGUUCUCUUUUCUUCUUGACAGCCUAUCACCCUGAAAUCGGUUUGUCCGGAGCUAGGGUUCCAC
rnacentral:ncRNA from 1 species